ensembl:snRNA U2 U2 spliceosomal RNA
GACUACAUAUUAAAUGGAUUUUUCGAACAGGGAGUCGGAAAUGGGGCUUGCUCCGUCCGCUCCACGCAUCGACCCGGUAUUGCAGUACCUCCGGGAACGGUGCAACACUU